rnacentral:rRNA from 1 species
UACGUAGGGUGCAAGCGUUAAUCGGAAUUACUGGGCGUAAAGCGUGCGCAGGCGGUUUUGUAAGUCAGAUGUGAAAUCCCCGGGCUUAACCUGGGAACUGCGUUUGAAACUACAAGGCUAGAGUGUGGCAGAGGGGGGUGGAAUUCCACGUGUAGCAGUGGAAAUGCGUAGAGAUGUGGAGGAACACCGAUGGCGAAGGCAGCCCCCUGGGUUAACACUGACGCUCAGGCACGAAAGCGUGGGUAGCAAACAGG